UACGUAGGGGGCGAGCGUUGUCCGGAAUCAUUGGGCGUAAAGCGCGUGUAGGCGGCUCGGUAAGUCCGGUGUGAAACCUUGGGGCUCAACCCCAAGCCUGCACUGGAUACUGUCGAGUUUGAGUCCGGGAGGGGAGAGCGGAAUUCCUAGUGUAGCGGUGAAAUGCGCAGAUAUUAGGAGGAACACCGAUGGCGAAGGCAGAUCUCUGGGCCGUAACUGACGCUGAGGAGCGAAAGCAUGGGGAGCGAACAGG
rnacentral:rRNA from 1 species